rnacentral:rRNA from 1 species
AACGAACGCUGGCGGCAGGCUUAACACAUGCAAGUCGAGGGGCAUCACAUGAAGUAGCAAUACGGAUGGUGGCGACCGGCGCACGGGUGAGUAACACGUAUGCAACCUGCCUUCAACAAGGGGAUAACCCGUUGAAAGACGGACUAAUACCCUAUAACACAGGGGUCCCGCAUGGGAAUAUUUGUUAAAGGACAACCGGUUGAAGAUGGGCAUGCGUUCCAUUAGCUAGUUGGCGGGGUAACGGCCCACCAAGGCAACGAUGGAUAGGGGAACUGAGAGGUUUAUCCCCCACACUGGUACUGAGACACGGACCAGACUCCUACGGGAGGCAGCAGUGAGGAAUAUUGGUCAAUGGACGCAAGUCUGAACCAGCCACGUCGCGUGAAGGAAGACGGCCCUACGGGUUGUAAACUUCUUUAUACGGGAAUAAAGUGCCCCACGCGUGGGGUUUUGCAUGUACCGUAUGAAUAAGGAUCGGCUAACUCCGUG